GUGGGGAAUCUUGUGCAAUGGGCGAAAGCCUGACGCAGCCAUGCCGCGUGAAUGAUGAAGGUCUUAGGAUUGUAAAAUUCUUUCACCGGGGACGAUAAUGACGGUACCCGGAGAAGAAGCUCCGGCUAACUUCGUGCCAGCAGCCGCGGUAAUACGAAGGGGGCUAGCGUUGCUCGGAAUUACUGGGCGUAAAGGGCGCGUAGGCGGACAGCUUAGUCAGAGGUGAAAGCCCAGGGCUCAAACUUGGAAUUGCCUUUGAUACUGGCUGUCUUGAGUACGGGAGAGGUGAGUGGAACUCCGAGUGUAGAGGUGAAAUUCGUAGAUAUUCGGAAGAACACCAGUGGCGAAGGCGACUCACUGGCCCGUUACUGACGCUGAGGCGCGAAAGCGUGGGGAGCAAACAGGAUUAGAAACCCUUGUAGUCC
rnacentral:rRNA from 1 species